GAUGAACGCUGGCGGCGUGCCUAAUACAUGCAAGUCGAGCGAAUGGAUUAAGAGCUUGCUCUUAUGAAGUUAGCGGCGGACGGGUGAGUAACACGUGGGUAACCUGCCCAUAAGACUGGGAUAACUCCGGGAAACCGGGGCUAAUACCGGAUAAUAUUUUGAACUGCAUGGUUCAAAAUUGAAAGGCGGCUUCGGCUGUCACUUAUGGAUGGACCCGCGCCGCAUUAGCUAGUUGGUGAGGUAACGGCUCACCAAGGCAACGAUGCGUAGCCGGCCGGAGAGGGUGAUCGGCCACACUGGGACUGAGACACGGCCCAGACGCCUACGGGAGGCAGCAGUAGGGAAUCUUCCGCAAUGGACGAAAGUCUGACGGAGCAACGCCGCGUGAGUGAUGAAGGCUUUCGGGUCGUAAAACUCUGUUGUUAGAGAAGAACAAGUGCUAGUUGAAUAAGCUGGCACCUUGACGGUACCUAACCAGAAAGCCACGGCUAACUACGUGCCAGCCGCCGCGGUAA
rnacentral:rRNA from 1 species